UACGAAGGGGGCUAGCGUUGCUCGGAAUUACUGGGCGUAAAGCGCACGUAGGCGGCUUUCUAAGUCGGGGGUGAAAUCCUGGAGCUCAACUCCAGAACUGCCUUCGAUACUGGCGAUCUUGAGUCCGGGAGAGGUGAGUGGAACUGCGAGUGUAGAGGUGAAAUUCGUAGAUAUUCGCAAGAACACCAGUGGCGAAGGCGGCUCACUGGCCCGGUACUGACGCUGAGGUGCGAAAGCGUGGGGAGCAAACAGG
rnacentral:rRNA from 1 species